rnacentral:tRNA from 1 species
GGGUGGGUAGCUCAGUGAUUAGAGCUUAGGUCUUGUAACCGGAAAGUCGCGGGAUCGAAUUCCGCUAGAGGCA